AGAGUUUGAUCCUGGCUCAGGAUGAACGCUGGCGGCGUGCCUAAUACAUGCAAGUCGAGCGAACGGACGAGAAGCUUGCUUCUCUGAUGUUAGCGGCGGACGGGUGAGUAACACGUGGAUAACCUACCUAUAAGACUGGGAUAACUUCGGGAAACCGGAGCUAAUACCGGAUAAUAUUUUGAACCGCAUGGUUCAAAAGUGAAAGACGGUCUUGCUGUCACUUAUAGAUGGAUCCGCGCUGCAUUAGCUAGUUGGUAAGGUAACGGCUUACCAAGGCAACGAUGCAUAGCCGACCUGAGAGGGUGAUCGGCCACACUGGAACUGAGACACGGUCCAGACUCCUACGGGAGGCAGCAGUAGGGAAUCUUCCGCAAUGGGCGAAAGCCUGACGGAGCAACGCCGCGUGAGUGAUGAAGGUCUUCGGAUCGUAAAACUCUGUUAUUAGGGAAGAACAUAUGUGUAAGUAACUGUGCACAUCUUGACGGUACCUAAUCAGAAAGCCACGGCUAACUACGUGCCAGCAGCCGCGGUAAUACGUAGGUGGCAAGCGUUAUCCGGAAUUAUUGGGCGUAAAGCGCGCGUAGGCGGUUUUUUAAGUCUGAUGUGAAAGCCCACGGCUCAACCGUGGAGGGUCAUUGGAAACUGGAAAACUUGAGUGCAGAAGAGGAAAGUGGAAUUCCAUGUGUAGCGGUGAAAUGCGCAGAGAUAUGGAGGAACACCAGUGGCGAAGGCGACUUUCUGGUCUGUAACUGACGCUGAUGUGCGAAAGCGUGGGGAUCAAACAGGAUUAGAUACCCUGGUAGUCCACGCCGUAAACGAUGAGUGCUAAGUGUUAGGGGGUUUCCGCCCCUUAGUGCUGCAGCUAACGCAUUAAGCACUCCGCCUGGGGAGUACGACCGCAAGGUUGAAACUCAAAGGAAUUGACGGGGACCCGCACAAGCGGUGGAGCAUGUGGUUUAAUUCGAAGCAACGCGAAGAACCUUACCAAAUCUUGACAUCCUUUGACAACUCUAGAGAUAGAGCCUUCCCCUUCGGGGGACAAAGUGACAGGUGGUGCAUGGUUGUCGUCAGCUCGUGUCGUGAGAUGUUGGGUUAAGUCCCGCAACGAGCGCAACCCUUAAGCUUAGUUGCCAUCAUUAAGUUGGGCACUCUAAGUUGACUGCCGGUGACAAACCGGAGGAAGGUGGGGAUGACGUCAAAUCAUCAUGCCCCUUAUGAUUUGGGCUACACACGUGCUACAAUGGACAAUACAAAGGGCAGCGAAACCGCGAGGUCAAGCAAAUCCCAUAAAGUUGUUCUCAGUUCGGAUUGUAGUCUGCAACUCGACUACAUGAAGCUGGAAUCGCUAGUAAUCGUAGAUCAGCAUGCUACGGUGAAUACGUUCCCGGGUCUUGUACACACCGCCCGUCACACCACGAGAGUUUGUAACACCCGAAGCCGGUG
rnacentral:rRNA from 1 species